CCAGACUCCUACGGGAGGCAGCAGUCGGGAAUAUUGCGCAAUGGAGGAAACUCUGACGCAGUGACGCCGCGUAUAGGAAGAAGGUUUUCGGAUUGUAAACUAUUGUCGUUAGGGAAGAUAAAAGACAGUACCUAAGGAGGAAGCUCCGGCUAACUACGUGCCAGCAGCCGCGGUAAUACGUAGGGGGCAAGCGUUAUCCGGAUUUACUGGGUGUAAAGGGAGCGUAGACGGCGAUACAAGUCUGAAGUGAAAGCCCGGGGCUCAACCCCGGGACUGCUUUGGAAACUGUGUUGCUGGAGUGCUGGAGAGGCAAGCGGAAUUCCUAGUGUAGCGGUGAAAUGCGUAGAUAUUAGGAGGAACACCAGUGGCGAAGGCGGCUUACUGGACUGUAACUGACGUUGAGGCUCGAAAGCGUGGGGAGCAAACAGGAUUAGAUACCCUAGUAU
rnacentral:rRNA from 1 species